GCUCCCCUGGUGUGAUGGUAACGCGUUGGACUUCUAAUCCAAAGACUGCGGGUUUGAGCCCCGCGGGGAGUG
rnacentral:tRNA from 1 species